rnacentral:rRNA from 1 species
GGGCCCGCACAAGCGGUGGAGCAUGUGGUUCAAUUCGACGCAACGCGAAGAACCUUACCUGGGCUCGAAGCGCAGUGGAAUCCGGUGGAAACAUCGGCGCCCUCACGGGCCGCUGCGGAGGUGCUGCAUGGCUGUCGUCAGCUCGUGUCGUGAGAUGUUGGGUUAAGUCCCGCAACGAGCGCAACCCUUAUCCCUAGUUGCCAGCGAGUAAUGUCGGGCACUCUAGUGAAACCGCCCCGGAUAACGGGGAGGAAGGUGGGGAUGACGUCAAGUCCUCAUGGCCUUUAUGUCCAGGGCUACACACGUGCUACAAUGGUCGGUACAAACCGUCGCAAACCUGCGAAGGGGAGCUAAUCGGAAAAAGCCGGCCUCAGUUCGGAUUGGAGUCUGCAAUUCGACUCCAUGAAGCUGGAAUCGCUAGUAAUCGCGGAUCAGAACGCCGCGGUGAAUACGUUCCCGGGCCUU